rnacentral:rRNA from 1 species
CUGCCAGUCAUAUGCUCGUCUCAAAGGCUAAGCCAUGCAUGUCUAAGUACUAGCCAACACAAGGCGAAACCGCGAAUGGCUCAUUAAAUCAGUCGUAAUUGAAGGGAUCUUGCGAGAUCCUUACUUGGAUACCUGUGGUAAUUCUAGAGCUAAUACAUGCAACUGAGCCCCGACUCCGCCCGCAAGGGUGGAGGAAGGGCGCAAUUAUUAGAUCAAAAACCGAUUAAGGUUAAUUGAUGACUCUGGAUAACCCAGCCGAGCGCUGAGGUCUUAGUACCGGCGCCGUAUCUCUCAAGUGUCUGCCUUAUCAGCUCUCGAUUGUAGGUUAAGCGCCUACACUGGCUGUAACGGGUAACGGGGAAUCAGGGUUCGAUUCCGGAGAGGGAGCCUGAGAAACGGCUACCACAUCUAAGGAAGGCAGCAGGCACGCAAAUUACCCAAUCCCGGCACGGGGAGGUAGUGACGAAAAAUAACGAUGCGGGACUCUUCCGAGGCCUCGCAAUCGGAAUGAGUUCAGUCUA